rnacentral:rRNA from 1 species
UACGUAGGGUGCGAGCGUUAAUCGGAAUUACUGGGCGUAAAGUGUGCGCAGGCGGCCGCGCAAGUCGAGUGUGAAAUCCCCGAGCUUAACUUGGGAAUUGCGCUCGAAACUACGUGGCUGGAGUGUGGCAGAGGAAGGUGGAAUUCCACGUGUAGCGGUGAAAUGCGUAGAUAUUGGGAAGAACACCGGUGGCGAAGGCGGCGAGCUGGUCCAUUACUGACGCUGAGGCGCGACAGCGUGGGGAGCAAACAGG